GUUGUAUGGCUUGAUAGCAACAGAUGGACACAUCUCCUCCCUCACCCUUUCUUUUUAUUGUACUCCAUAAAAAUGAAUCCCUUUCCUUAGGCUGAGAGCAUCUGUCUCUUGUGUGAGAAGAUUUAAUAUUUUUUUUUUUCCUCUUUCUUUCCCCCCUCCCUCUUCUGUACUUUGUGAAGCUGUGUGACUCUUCAAGGUAAAGUGUGAAGGCCACACACACACAAAAUUGUGUUCAGACAAAGCACAAAAGCCUUGAAGGAGGCAAGUGAAAGUCAAGUUCUUCAAAGGCUUGCAUGACUGCAAAUGAAUAGAGUAGAAUACUUCAGUCAUUUGAGAGUCAUGUUACUGGUCCUGAAACAAAACUGUUGUGACAAGUUGUUGAAUGGAAGACUUUCCAAGAAAUCAAUCCUUCAUACCAGAAAGAUUCAUCUGAUUGAUGCCCAAACAAACUGCACUACAAUAUUUGGAGCUUCUUGCAAUACAAGAGUUCUUCUCCUAAAGCACUUGAAUCCCUUUCCUUGCAGGACUUCCAACAUUUUUACAGUGUAG
rnacentral:lncRNA from 1 species